UCAAACUCAUCAUGAACUUGAUAUGUUAGCAUGAAUCCACACACACACGUCAAGUAUGCACUUAACAGGUAAAGGUUGAUGUCAUUUUGCACUGAUAAAUUUUCAUAAAAUCAAUUACUUAGUCCAAUCCUGAGCCAAGGCAAGGUGUUAAGCCAUGUUUGUUCAGAAUUAUAUCACUAUCUUGUUUGAGGACAAACAAUAGUUCAAGUUUGGG
rnacentral:lncRNA from 1 species